CCGGGAGUGGGAUGUUUGCGCU
rnacentral:miRNA from 3 species